AGAGUUUGAUCCUGGCUCAGAUUGAACGCUGGCGGCAGGCCUAACACAUGCAAGUCGGGCGGUAACACAGGGAGCUUGCUCCUGGGUGACGAGCGGCGGACGGGUGAGUAAUGUCUGGGAAACUGCCUGAUGGAGGGGGAUAACUACUGGAAACGGUAGCUAAUACCGCAUAACGUCGCAAGACCAAAGAGGGGGACCUUCGGGCCUCUUGCCAUCAGAUGUGCCCAGAUGGGAUUAGCUAGUAGGUGGGGUAACGGCUCACCUAGGCGACGAUCCCUAGCUGGUCUGAGAGGAUGACCAGCCACACUGGAACUGAGACACGGUCCAGACUCCUACGGGAGGCAGCAGUGGGGAAUAUUGCACAAUGGGCGCAAGCCUGAUGCAGCCAUGCCGCGUGUAUGAAGAAGGCCUUCGGGUUGUAAAGUACUUUCAGCGGGGAGGAAGGUGUUGUGGUUAAUAACCACAGCAAUUGACGUUACCCGCAGAAGAAGCACCGG
rnacentral:rRNA from 1 species